UACGUAGGGUGCGAGCGUUGUUCGGAGUUACUGGGCGUAAAGGGUGUGUAGGCGGUUGUUUAAGUUUGGUGUGAAAUCUCCCGGCUCAACUGGGAGGGUGCGCCGAAUACUGAAUGACUUGGAGUGCGGGAGAGGAAAGUGGAAUUCCUGGUGUAGCGGUGAAAUGCGUAGAUAUCAGGAGGAACACCGGUGGUGUAGACGGCUUUCUGGACCGUAACUGACGCUGAGACACGAAAGCGUGGGUAGCAAACAGG
rnacentral:rRNA from 1 species